GUGGGGAAUAUUGGGCAAUGGGGGAAACCCUGACCCAGCAACGCCGCGUGAAGGAAGAAGGUUUUCGGAUCGUAAACUUCUAUCCUUGGUGAAGAUAAUGACGGUAGCCAAGAAGGAAGCCCCGGCUAACUACGUGCCAGCAGCCGCGGUAAUACGUAGGGGGCAAGCGUUGUCCGGAAUGAUUGGGCGUAAAGGGCGCGUAGGCGGCCUGGUAAGUCUGGAGUGAAAGUCCUGCUUUUAAGGUGGGAAUUGCUUUGGAUACUGUCGGGCUUGAGUGCAGGAGAGGUAAGUGGAAUUCCCGGUGUAGCGGUGAAAUGCGUAGAGAUCGGGAGGAACACCAGUGGCGAAGGCGACUUACUGGACUGUAACUGACGCUGAGGCGCGAAAGUGUGGGGAGCAAACAGGAUUAGAAACCCCGGUAGUCC
rnacentral:rRNA from 1 species